GACACAGACACUGGAAGACUAGGGGACUGGGCGACAUGGGGACUCUGACACUGUGAUACAUAGGGACACUAAUGCCAGGCUGGCAUUCCAAUUCUUUGGAGACACAUACCCCCUUUUUUGGCAUGUUUGCCCAUUUUGGCACUUCUGGUCACAUGAUUUGCAUCAGUGGCCCACUCUUUUACCCCACCCAUUGACUUCCUGCUUCACUGGAAACUGCUGUUAGGGGGUAUGGAUUUACUUGAAAGAUGAAAGCAGACAUUAGAUAAAGAGAUUAGCAUAGAGUAUGUGUUUUCUUAUAGCUGCAUCCUUUCAGUUUCCAUUAGAUACAUGACGCUUGAGAGGUGUGACUGUUUUAGUGUUUUUGGUCGAUAAGAUUCUGUAAUUAGGCCCCAUCAUAAUUGUCAGCACCAGGCCCACUGGGCUCUUAAU